GACGAACGCUGGCGGCGUGCUUAACACAUGCAAGUCGAACGGAAAGGCCCUGCUUUUGUGGGGUGCUCGAGUGGCGGACGGGUGAGUAACACGUGAGUAACCUGCCCUUGACUUUGGGAUAACUUCAGGAAACUGGGGCUAAUACCGGAUAGGAGCUCCUGCUGCAUGGUGGGGGUUGGAAAGUUUCGGCGGUUGGGGAUGGACUCGCGGCUUAUCAGCUUGUUGGUGGGGUAGUGGCUUACCAAGGCUUUGACGGGUAGCCGGCCUGAGAGGGUGACCGGCCACAUUGGGACUGAGAUACGGCCCAGACUCCUACGGGAGGCAGCAGUGGGGAAUAUUGCACAAUGGGCGGAAGCCUGAGGCAGCAACGCCGCGUGCGGGAUGACGGCCUUCGGGUUGUAAACCGCUUUCGCCUGUGACGAAGCGUGAGUGACGGUAAUGGGUAAAGAAGCACCGGCUAACUACGUG
rnacentral:rRNA from 1 species